UUGGUACAGUCGGUACAGUCCAGUACAGUCGGCCCAGUAAAGUUGGUACAGUCCGGUACAGUCGGCCCAGUACAGUUGGUACAGUCUGUCUGGUACAGUCGGCCCAGUGCAGUCUUGUACAUUCGGUUUGGUACAGUCGGUACAGUCUGGUACAGUCGGCCUAGUGCAGUCGGUACAGUAGGCCCAGUACAGUUAAUACAGUCCGGUACAGUAGGCCCAGUACAGUUAAUACAGUCCGGUACAGUCGGCUCGGUACAGUUAAUACAGUCCGGUACUGACGGUAUGGCCCAGUACAGUUGAUACAGUCCAGUACAGUCGGCCCAGCACAGUUGGUACAGUCCGGUACAGUCGGU